rnacentral:rRNA from 1 species
GACGAACGCUGGCGGCGUGCCUAAUACAUGCGAGUAGAACGCUGAAGGAGGAGCUUGCUCUUCUGGAUGAGUUGCGAACGGGUGAGUAACGCGUAUGUAACCUGCCUGGUAGCGGGGGAUAACUAUUGGAAACGAUAGCUAAUACCGCAUAAAAUUGAUUAUUGCAUUAUAGUCAAUUAAAAGGUGCAAUUGCAUCACUACCAGAUGGACCUGCGUUGUAUUAGCUAGUUGGUGAGGUAACGGCUCACCAAGGCAACGAUCCAUAGCCGACCUGAGAGGGUGAUCGGACACACUGGGACUGAGACACGGCCCAGACUCCUACGGGAGGCAGCAGUAGGGAAUCUUCGGCAAUGGACGGAAGUCUGACCGAGCAACGCCGCGUGAGUGAAGAAGGGUUUCGGAUCGUAAAGCUCUGUUGUAAGAGAAGAACGAGUGUGAGAGUGGAAAGUUCACACUGUGACGGUAUCUUACCAGAAAGGGACGGCUAACUACGUG